AUAAAACAUAAAUUAUUUAUCAUAAGUCACAAUCACAAAUUCACAAUUCUCCAUAAUAACUCACAAAUCACAAAUCAUUAUUUAUAAGACCAAUAAGUAAUAUCAAUUAACACAAUUUACAGACUUGAGAUAACAACAUUCAUUAUUAUUUAUUCAAUAAAUCAAUGAGAAAUAGCCAAAAAAAUAUAACAAAAACAAUACCCAAAAAAUAAAAAUAAAAAUAGCGAUAAAAUAGAACAUAAAGCACUCACUAGUCACCAGACGAAGCUGAAUUUUGUUCGCCCAAUUAACAAUCACCCAUGCUGUCUACUGACCAGAAUGGGAAGUUGGAGAUCUCAAAAUACUGGAAUGCCAGUUGAACUCGGCAGAAGAAGAACUUUGAUGACUCAAACCAGGCUUUAGAGUUUAAGCUUUUGAACUUGGCUAAUGGACAAUGGCUGGCAGGUGGAGGCGCGGUUGAACGGAAUUUGGAAGAGAGGAAAAGGAUUUGCGCUUAAGCUGUUGGAUUUGGGAAUGAGAAAUUGAGAGUCGAUUACUUGAUUUGGUGGAGUUUGCUAUUUGGAAUUGGACCAUUCUUCAUCCGGGGAUUGCCAAUGCAGACUCGG
rnacentral:lncRNA from 1 species